rnacentral:tRNA from 1 species
AGGUCAGUGUGCUGAAUGGUUGAAGGCAGCAGGCUGUAAACCUGUGACACCAGAAACGUUGUAGGUUCGAAUCCUACCUGACCUA